GCCUGGGUGGCUCAGUCGGUUAAGCGUCCGACUUGGGCUCAGGUCAUGAUCUCGCGGUCUGUGGGUUCGAGCCCCGCAUCGGGCU
rnacentral:tRNA from 1 species